CUCUGGAAAGCAGUGAGGUUAAGGAAAUUUAAUAAUAGGCAGAUGAAACUGUCAGCAGCAGAAAGGCAACGGCAAUACAGGGCACGACGAGAUGCCGACCCUGUAAGGAAGGCAGAAAAUGUGCAAAAAGAUAGAAAUGGAUGCCACAAAAGGAAAAAUGCAGGCCAGACAAGCACAGUGGCCGAUCUGGGUGAAAGAGAGAAAAGGUACAAGCGCAGGUAUUGGAAAGAGGCACAGCAGAGGUGCAGAGCAGAAAAGCAGAGACUUGUAGAGAUGACACCACCACAAAGUCCUGAAUCAGACCCUGAACCACAGAUAUCCAGACAAAGAAGAUCAGGACAAAGAAAAUUAAAACUGCAGAACUCCAAAUUAUACAGAUAAAUUGAAAAAUUAAAGAUUUUGCUGAAAAAGAAAACAACCUCUGUCUGAAAAUACCAGAAACACCUUCAGAGACUGACAUAUGUGGCUGAAUCCCCUCGUUCAAAAACGCGGAAGCAAAUAGGAAAACAUAAAGUCCCUGCAGAGGUUCAAAAAACCCUCUUGUUUCAUAAUGCACUGAUAAAUAAUAUCAGACAAAAGUACCAAGACACUAAAAAAGAAAGAGUGCGUCAGAUUAUAUCACGAAUUGUGUCAGGAAAGAUUAUAAAAAAUUACAAACUACAGAAGACAACACAGACCUCACUUGGUUUUUCAAGAAAGCGGUUCGAGAAGAGGAACCAAAGUGAACAGAUUUUUUCAAAGAAGAAAAUAUCGAUCAGCACAAAGCAAGCUCCAAAAGAACGUACAGGAAUUAUUUUUGAGAGACGAUGUCAGCCGCUUGACUGCAGGAAAAAAACAAACCAUUACAAGAGGAAAAGUAAAAAUGCAGAAAAGGUUUCUAAAUGAUACCAUAAAAAAUCUUCAUCGCAAAUUCCUUCUAGAGAAUCCAUCAAGUCUGCUGUCAUAUGCACUUUUCUGUUGUAUGCGUCCUUUCUGGGUUGUCCACCCAUCCAUAUCUGACAGAGACACCCGUCUCUGUAAAGUUCAUGAAAACUUAUCCUUCCUUGUGCGGAAGCUUCAUACACUCAAACUUCUUGGGACGACUAACUUGGAAAUCAUUGCAAACUCAAUAUGCUGUGAUCCUGCAAGCAAAGAAUGCAUGUAUGGAGAAUGUGCCAAAUGCAGAAGCAAUAUCUAUCAGCUCAACAGUGAGUAUGAUGCUGAGGCUCCAGUGAGAUUUGUUCAGUGGACAACUGAACUUGGAGAAAGGAGAAAGAAUCACAACCAGUCCGAAUGACUGUGAAAAGGGAGAUGGAGUGUUCUCUAGGAGAUAUGACUGAUAGGUUUCAGAACCAGCUGAGAGUUUUCACAAGGCACCAUUUCAAUAUUAAAACACAAUACAACCACUACCGGGAGCUCAAGAAAAGCAUGAAAUCUGACGAGUGUUUGAUUCACAUUGAUUUUUCUGAAAAUUAUGCAUGUAAAUUAUCAGGCAGUUCAUUUUGCAUCCUCUCAGCAGCAGGCAACUCUGCAUACAGGAAUCCUUCAUGUGGGUGGAGUGGACAAACAUUUGUGCUUUACUACCAUCUCAACAUCAAAAGAGAAAAGUCCCUCCGCUAUAUGGACACACUUGUCCCCUGUGCUUGAUCAUGUGAAAACCCACCAUCCAUCAGUAAGUUUAGUUAAUUUUUUUAGUGAUGGAAAGUGCACCCAAUACCAUCAGAAGGGCAACUUCUAUAUGUUUAGCACAGAGUUGUUCAAGAAGGGCUUCAAGAAAGGCACAUGGAGCUUCUUUGAAGCAAGCCACGGAAAAGGUGCACCAGAUGGAGUGGGUGGAGUUUUAAAAAGAACAGCGGACAGACUGGUCAGUGAAGGAAAAGACAUUCAAAAUGCCAAGAAAUUAUAUGAUUGUCUACUGAAUGUCCAGACCUCUAUACAGCUGUUCUACAUUGAUGAGGACGCUGUGGGGAAAGCUGUAUAAAAGAUGCCAAAACUGCACUGUUCUCAUUGCAACUCAAUUACACUGGCAGAAAAUGUUGUUGUUUGAUCUUUUAACUAUAGGUGGUCAACUCUGUUAUUAAUGUCAACUCUGUUUGUUUAAGGUUUUACUUUAAAAAUGAUCAUCAUAUGUGUUUUAUUGUUAACAAAUUGAUCAGAAUCUUAUUAACAUAACUAGUAUUCUUACGGCAUGGAGUUUUAAAGGAUUUCAUUCAUUUUUAAAGCUAUGCUUAGAGAAAAUGCACACUAUCUUGGCAACUUUUCAGUUAAAUGUAUUGAUAUUUUUACCCCAAAACAAAAAGUCUCUAUCUUAUUAUGCUUAAAGUUGCAUUAAUGGAUGAAAAGACAAAAGUUCUCUUAGGGAGGACAGGUUUUAAAAUUGUGUUACAUUUUUUAACUGUAUAUAUUUGACCCAAUUUGUCUAGAACAGAGUUGACAGAUUUUCCUGUUAGUACAUUGAUGUUCUGUCAUAAUAUUUUAAAUCUUGCAAGUUUAAGAUCAGCAAAUAUUGAAAAUGUUAAAUUUAAAGUGCAUUCAAUGGAAAUAAAAAAGUUUAAC